AAAAAAUUUCUGUAUAUAGAGGGCAUGAUUUUUAUUUUUUUUUCCAGAGUAUUUGAUAAUUUCUUUGCAUACCACAGAGAGAAAUACUAUGAAGACUUGGGUAUCUUUCAAGGGUUUCACAGUCAGCAAUUCCAGAAUCUGUAUAGCAUCCAUCUGUCCCAGGCCAGGCCUCCAACAUUCUGCAAGCCCAACUCAUUAAUGGAAGUGUCACUCAAAAGUUUUUUGGAAAGUAGCAAGAAUUCUCUCCAGCACAUGUAUAAUCCUUGCAGCUGUAUGUCCUCUCCACACCUAUUCUCUGUUAUGCAUUUACUACUGCUGGUACUGCAGAGGCCAGGUUCAGCAGAUGUCAGAAUAUUCAAGGCCGAGCUUAUGGAGCUAUUAGGAUAUUUUUAAAUUUUAAUUUUUGGAAAAAAAAUUAAUCUUUAUUCUACCAAGUCUAGAAAAAGACAGUCCUUUAUUUAUUUUUUCCCUCUUUUACCAUAGUGUUUUCCUUCCUUUACCCUUUUUCUGUGGCUAAGAUGGUAAUAUAAAAUGGAUAGACAAAAAUGAAAAUACAAACCAGAGUGAGAAGAAAAGCCUGACAACACCACCAUCAUACAUCCUGUUGUUGCUAGUGAAAGAAAACAGAGUACAGAAGAACAUAAUUUUGAUGCUUGGAAUUUACUCGACAUAUUCCAUGGGUCUUUGAUCAAGGGCUGUUUCAGAGUCCUUGCCAUACUCUAAGUCUCACCCACAAAGUUAAACGAAUGAAAACUGUAUAAACCUCAAGGAUAUUGAGGGUUUUCUUUUAUAUUCCUUUACUUUGCCAUGGGCCCAUGAUAUGAACGGCAUGUGGUCCUGUUCUGCUGUCAUGGGGUGGCUUUACCUUUAAGACAGCUGAGGAAAGAGGGGAAGUUGAAGCUGCUGGUGGCUGAUGGGAGUUCUUCCUCCUAACCAAUUUCUAAGAAUUGACAGCAGAUCUGACCAUUAAAAAGUGAAUUCAACUUGUAAACACCCCCUUAAGAAGUACAGACAGAGUUCUUUUGCUCUCUUUCACUUCCAACUUUUGGCAAGGUAACAAGGCUCUGUUUUGGCCUCUCCCCCUCCCUCCAGGCCGACAAGGCCGCGGGGUGGAGGGGGAGGCGGGGAGAAGCAGCGUUGGUCAGCGAGCUUGGUUUAUAGUUGUUGCUGCUAGACUGAAACCUGAUACUGUGAACUCUUAUAGCUUUUUAAGCUUCUAAUUCUUUUACUACCUUGAGUAAACAUACAGAUUACUUCUUCUCUCAGAACGACAGAGAGAGAGAGAGACAAUUAACAUAGAGAAAACAUCAUAGAACCACCAAUGCAGCAGUGAAGAAAAGAGUUAAGUUUUAAAUAAGAGAGAGAGAAUAAGAAGAUGCUUAAUAGCUGAAAUAUCUUUUUGUUAAAGCUAUGGAGAUGGACAAUAAUCAUAUAAAAGACUCCUUUAAUUCAUGAUAAGAGUAUUGGGAGGAAUGGAGUAUUCAAAGUGUGGGUUUUGAGCAAAAGAGAAAGAGUUUGGCAUACUGUGAGUUGCUGAGAUUAAGUAGAGUGAAGAUUUUGAAGCCUUGGGGGCAAAGAGGGAACUGUUUUCCAGGAGACCUCACAGAAACAGAUGAAGAGGACUUCUGCCUUUGAAUAACUCAUCCUUAAAAAUGAAAUCCCUAGACUUUAUUGACCCAUGCACACCUUGGAGAGAUGUAAGAUGGGAGGAGAAGAUCUAAUGACAGAUUUCCGGGCAGCUGGCAUUAGAGAAAUAGAAAACUAUGACAAAAAUAGUUUUCUCGUGAGAAACUCCAUAGAUUAGCAGAAAGAGACUUCUGUUUCUCUACAAAGACUGAUGAAAAGACUCUAACAAAAAUUGAGACUGUUUUUUAGCCACCAAAGUUCUAAAGUUAUUUGUCUCUAUGUUAUCAUGUCAUGUGUACAAAGAAGUAAUCAAAAUGUAAAAGAUGAAGGGGUUUUCUAGAAAUUUACUCUAGUGUUCUUAUUCUUGUAGUUUGUUAAUAAACUGUCUUUAUUCCUUUUAAGUUUUAAGCCU
rnacentral:lncRNA from 1 species